GAUGAACGCUGUCUACAGGCUUAACACAUGCAAGUCGAGGGGAAACGACGGGGAAGCUUGCUUCCCCGGGCGUCGACCGGCGCACGGGUGAGUAACGCGUAUCCAACCUGCCUCUGACUGAGGGAUAACCCGUCGAAAGUCGGCCUAAUACCUCAUGGCAUCGUCUGCGGGCAUCCAACGACGAUUAAAGAUUUCAUCGGUCAGGGAUGGGGAUGCGUCUGAUUAGCUUGUUGGCGGGGUAACGGCCCACCAAGGCUACGAUCAGUAGGGGUUCUGAGAGGAAGGUCCCCCACAUUGGAACUGAGACACGGUCCAAACUCAUACGGGAGGCAGCAGUGAGGAAUAUUGGUCAAGGGGCGGGAGCCUGAACCAGCCAAGUAGCGUGCAGGAGGACGGCCAUAGGGGUUGUAAACUGCUUUUAUGCGGGGAUAAAGUGAGGGACGUGUCCUUCAUUGCAGGUACCGCAUGAAUAAGGACCGGCUAAUUCCGUG
rnacentral:rRNA from 1 species